rnacentral:rRNA from 1 species
AUGAACGCUGGCGGCGUGCCUCAUACAUGCAAGUCGUGCGCACAGACGAGGAGCUUGCUCCUCUGACGUUAGCGGCGGACGGGUGAGUAACACGUGGAUAACCUACCUAUAAGACUGGGUUAACUUCGGGAAACCGGAGCUAAUACCGGAUAAUAUAUUGAACCGCAUGGUUCAAUAGUGAAAGACGGUUUUGCUGUCACUUAUAGAUGGAUCCGCGCCGCAUUAGCUAGUUGGUAAGGUAACGGCUUACCAAGGCAACGAUGCGUAGCCGACCUGAGAGGGUGAUCGGCCACACUGGAACUAGGAGACGGUCCGGAGUCCUACGAGAGGCAGCAGUAGGGAAUCUUCCGCAAUGGGCGAAAACCUGACGGAGCAACGCCGCGUGAGUGAUGAAGGUCUUCGGAUCGUAAAACUCUGUUAUUAGGGGAGAACAAAUGUGUAAGUAACUAUGCACGUCUUGACGGUACCUGAUCAGAAAGCCACGGCUAACUACGUG